UCGCGGCCUCCCGCGGGCCCUGCGGCACCCCGGCCGGGCAGCAGCGCGGAGGGCUCCCGGACUCCCCAGCCGUGCCUGAGGAGGGCCGGGGGGUCCCUCAGCAACACCGAGUGCAAUUCCAGCAAAGCUUGUGUCUUCGGGGGAGUAAGCCCCGGAAGACAAAAAGGCAUGUGGCUGGCAGGCUUGGUGCCACCGGGUGACACAGAGGGCGCAAGGACCUUGUAGAAGCAGAAGGGUUUCACCAGUCGUGGAUGGGGAGCAGCAGGCUGGCGUGGUGCGUGUGUGGCAGUUCCCCGGUGGGAGUUUGAAGUGCAUCUUGGCAGCAACAGCUGCUUGGCUGGCAAAAGCAUCAUAUUUGCCAUUUUCUUGGUAAUGCCGAGGCGAAGCUGUGGUUGUAGAGUGCUUUAGCAGCAUUCUAAAAUCUGAGAUGCAGACAGUGAUCCCUUGUGUGGCCCUGGUGUCCUCACACAGUACAGAGUGUUUACCGUCGCAGCUCCUGCAGAGCCAUACGCACCAGCUGCUGGGUUAUAAACUCAGUCUCACUGAGGGUAUGGAAAACUGUUACAGUUUUAAAAGCAAAAUUCCUCUGUUUCUAUAAAAGGAAACCACACAAGGAUGCCUGGAAUCAAAGGAGCCUUUGAAACAAAACUUCUGGGCGGGUGUUUGUGUUUCAUAACAGAUUAAGUUAUCAGCCGCAUGCAGAGCACGGCGCAGGUGAUAAAUGGCCAUGGGAGACCGGAGGCCGGUGCUUCCUCCUGCCAGGCAGAAACCAGGGCAGAGCUCCUUGUGUUGAUGAACUCACUUGUGCCAAAGGAAGGGCGAGAGGAAAGCAAGGACCAGGGAAACAGCAGAGGCAGCUGAAUAAACCCAAUAGUUAACUGGAGCUGCUUGAGCCUGCGGAAGGCAGAGAGUCUGCUGCAGCGGGAGGGUGUCUAGUCCUGCAGGGUUUGUGCCUCUCUGUCCAGGAAUGGGCUGUAGGGGGUUUUGCGUAGAGCAGAAAAUUGUGUUUCACAGCACAGCUAGUUAACUGUCAGAGCCUCCACAGGCAAGUAGUAUGGGCUGAUGAUGUAUGAUGAGGUAGUAGUCUGUCUUCAGUGUCUCCUGGAUCAGGAGUGGAGCAGCAGGAGGAGUAUCUUGAUCCCUGCUUUGAUGCUUUUACACUGUCCCUCAGCAGCUCACCCUCACUUUUGGGAGCGGCAGCCAUAGGCAUCCUUUCCUGCCAUAUCACACAACGGCCACCUGCAGGAGCUUUUCCAUGUCCUGUUAUGGUGUGUCCCACCAGGGAAAGGAUGAAAGAAUUUGUCACUGUUGCACAUGCCAAGCUGUGUUAUUUCUGUUCCUGGAGGGCAUGGUGAUGCCAUUAUCGCAACAGUCAGGGUGGACCAGACAAACACCUCUUUCUGAUUUUUUUAAGGUGCCCAUCUCAAAGGCUUCAUGUUCGUAGGGGAUAGGUGGUCUGGUGGCAGCAAGAACUGGAGAGAUUCUCCCUUGUUUUGGAGCCUGGGUUUUGAGAUAACCCAGUUCUCUGGAGGAGGCGGCAGCAGAUCCAUGGCCUCUGAAAGGCUUUGAGAGGAGGCCGGAGAAACAUGAAGACUUUGCAAAAGCAGCUGCUCGCAGUAUCGCUGGAGGUACAUCAGGCACAUCUCUGGUUUUCAGUGAGGUGCAGAGGUCUGCUUUGGGAAAGGCAGUUACUAAAUCACCUGAGCUGAGCUGUGCCCUUGCUGCUGGAGAAAACGGGAUAAAUGGUUUUAAGUGCCCAACCGCCUCUCCCUGCAAGUGCAGCUUUCCUUGCUGCCCACCCCAGGCUGUGGUAUGUCAGUUUGCCCCCACAGCGCCUCCGUUUUACAGUGCAGACUGUUGUCCCUGCCAGAGGAUCAGUCCCACUCAACCCCUGGGUGUGGAUGCUGCUAAGCCUGUCCCUUCUCAAUCCCCUUUGGGCAGGAGAAGGACCUGCAGAGCCUCCUGGUUGCACCUUGGCGGCUUCUGGAGAGAACCUGCACGCUCCUGGCUGCCUCCAGCCUACCGCAGUCCCUGUCUGCAGCUUCCCCACCAUCCUGCACGCUGGAUUCCUGCUGCUGCAGCUCCUCCCUGCUGACAGAGCAUCCCGCAUCCCGCGGGCCCUGCUGGCGAAGCCUGGCAGCGUGCCUGCGUGCCCCAGGCUGCCUCAGUUCUGUCGUUUGUCACUAACCGAGCCCUUCAUGGCAUCGGCGGUGACGAGAUUGUUUUAUCAAUUGAGUGUAGCCGGUUAUCUCUGAGAGCAAAACGGUGCUCUGCAGCUCCUAGGGGACACUGCACCGCACUGCCCUUGCAGGGGCUGCCCACGUGCUGUCUUCAGGUUCUUCCCUUGGCUUUGCCCGUGCUGUUUCGUUAAAGUAGCACUUACAGCUGCGGAAGUUCCAUGAAGAAUUUCAGAGUGAAAUUUCUCUGUGGGCAAAUGAGAUGGAGAUUGAACCUCCAUAAUCCUCUGACCACUGUGAGUUUAUCUGUGUCACCAAGGGUGUUUGUCACCGUGUCUCCUGUGUUUUUAGGGUCUUCUCUGUGACUGAAUAUCAAGGGCUACAUCUUCCCAACUGUCCAAGUGUGGGUUUUUGUUUUUUCCUCUGGACUUUGCAGCCUCUGGAGCAAGCCCUUCUGCUUUCCUACAGGCCUCUCCAUCUGAUGGGGUGUCCUUGCGAUGUCAGCACUUGGGCUGAUGCAUCCAGACCUCACCCACAAGGUGUCCUCUGCCAGCCCCGCGGUAGCUCCAGCCCUACCAAGCGGCACGCACCUACACCGAGCAGCACCACAGCAAGCCUGCAACAUCUCUGGCGCGAUCCUGAGCAGGAGGAGGUGGCAUGUCUGUGUGAGCACGGCAUGCUCUGUGGCAUCCCUCCAAGAUGUGCUCUGUAUUCCCUUAUUGAUCAGGAGAUUUCUGUACUGGGAAGUCCUAGUGGAUAUUGUUCCUGGGAUGAGAUGUCUUACAGGGAGAAGUGUUGGUGCUUCCAGCAUCCCUAGGCACCUGCAGCUUUGGUAACUGGAUUUUCCUAGGGAAAGCUGGAAGCCAGCUGCAGGGUGGCCUCCCCCGUGCCCCACUGGCCCUCGGGGCAGCCCCCCUCCCUCCCCGGGUCUGGUAACAGAGGGCUGUGCAGUGUCCCUGGUAAGCGGGGACACAUACUGGCAGGGACAGCUAACGAUGGAACACAGGGACCACAUAACCAACUGCGACAUCACUGUCUGUGAUGCUCUCUGGGAAUAUUUGACCGAUCUGGAUAGUUUUUGUCUAAGGGCAGUUGCUUUGCACUGCAGCUGCUGUAGGUUAGGAGGUACAUCCCUCUGCCUGUUGCAGCUGCCCGGGGAAGAUGUGUGAUCCCUGAGGGCCCUGAGGACAUGAACUGGCAUGCAGGCACGAGGGUGGUGUGCUAGAGAGGCUCUGUGCAUUGUCUGCUGCCUCAAAGCCAACACGAGCAUCUCCUUCCUGAGGCAGGUGUCUGCUGCCGUUGCCCUGCUCCAUCCAGUGCCUGCCUCGGUGUCUGACAGAGCAGAGCAGCUCCAGCUCUUCCCUGAGCUCAGCAGCCUUUGUGCCCCAUCCCACCGACCUCCCGGAGAUGGAUUUCUCCUCCCAGCUGGUGCUGCUGCAGGUGCCAGCCUGGUGACAGUCUGAUUUUUCAGCAUAUAAGAAAACUGGAGGAAAUGUCCUUUCCAGACUUCUGCCCUCUCACUGGGAAGAGCACGCAGGUCCUGCUGGGUGACAAAUGCUGUGUAGACUGCAGCUUAUGGCUCUGGGCAAGCCACAUCCAACCUCUCCUUAUCCUUCAGCACUUGGUUCACAGUGAGGUAAUCGCCAUAAUUUUUAGCACUAAGAACAUGUAGACCAAGAAAUCUGUGUCCUUACGGGUAUUAAGGAGAGACUGAUGGACACUCUUCAGUGUCUUAAAUUCCCCCGCCCCUUCCAGCUCUGGUCUUAUUCCAGAAUUAGAAUUGGGAAAAUGUCUCACAGCCUCAUGAAUUCGUUCUGAAUGGCAAAGAAAGAAGACAGUGAGUUUGGGACUUUCUGUGAUUUUUUGAGUCCUAAAGCACAAAUGAGCAUUCAUGUCCAAGUGAGAUCUGCUUCGCGGUCCCAUGCUCCCUGACCCCCCUGCACGUGACUGGCACUUGGCCUGGUUACCAUUGGCUGCAUCAUGUGUACACCUGGCACAUUUGUGGGACAACUAGGGCAUCCAAAAAAAAGCCACCUAGGGCCACGGCAUGUGCUGCGCUCAGAGGUGGCACAGAAAUCAGCAAAAGGAGAAGCAUCUGUGUAAUAACCAGCAUAAAUCACCAGUGGUACAUCCCCCCACCGCCUAACGCUGGCCUGGAAAUGCUCCUCCCAUGCUGCCGUGGCGCUGAGCUCUGACUUCUCCUGAUUCAGCUGCCCCAGUUCCUGCUGACAUGUUCUCGCCCUGCCUAACAGCUCUGGAGCAGGGGGUCACAGGCAGAUGGGGAGACAUGAGGCCGCCGGCAACACCGAGGGGGGUUUGCUCCUUCUCGAUGAUCUCAUACAAGUGUGAAUGUUUGCAAUAUGUCAUCUUCUGCUUGAUGAAAAGCUUCUGGCUACUGGGUCUUAAA